UGCAUUUGUUCAAACCCUUCCCUGCUGGA
rnacentral:piRNA from 1 species